AAUCCAUAUUGUAGACACUGGCGAAGUAAAACCUUGUAUCGUUCCCAAGCCUCUGAAUAGCAUUCUGAGUCCAUUUGCUGAAAAGUAGUGAUCUCGUCCCUUAGCUU
rnacentral:snoRNA from 1 species